rnacentral:rRNA from 1 species
GACUACUGGGGUAUCUAAUCCUGUUUGCUCCCCACGCUUUCGUGCAUGAGCGUCAGUGUUGACCCAGGGGGCUGCCUUCGCCAUCGGUAUUCCUCCACAUCUCUACGCAUUUCACUGCUACACGUGGAAUUCUACCCCCCUCUGCCACACUCUAGUCUUGCAGUCACAAACGCAGUUCCCAGGUUAAGCCCGGGGAUUUCACAUCUGUCUUACAAAACCGCCUGCGCACGCUUUACGCCCAGUAAUUCCGAUUAACGCUCGCACCCUACGUAUUACCGCGGCUGCUGGCACGUAGUUAGCCGGUGCUUCUUCUUCAGGUACCGUCAUUAGCAAACUUUAUUAAAGCUUACCGUUUCGUUCCUGCUGAAAGAGCUUUACAACCCGAAGGCCUUCUUCACUCACGCGGCAUGGCUGGAUCAGGGUUUCCCCCAUUGUCCAAAAUUCCCCACUGCAGCCUCCCGUAGG